rnacentral:piRNA from 1 species
CGGUGUUUGUAACUUGAGGAUGGU